UACGUAGGGAGCAAGCGUUGUCCGGAAUCAUUGGGCGUAAAGCGCGCGUAGGUGGCCUCGUAAGUCCGCUGUGAAAGUCAAAGGCUCAACCUUUGAAAGCCGGUGGAUACUGCAGGGCUAGAGUACGGAAGAGGCGAGUGGAAUUCCUGGUGUAGCGGUGGAAUGCGCAGAUAUCAGGAGGAACACCAAUAGCGAAGGCAGCUCGCUGGGACGUUACUGACACUGAGGCGCGAAAGCGUGGGGAGCAAACAGG
rnacentral:rRNA from 1 species